UACAGAGGGUGCAAACGUUGCUCGGAAUUAUUGGGCGUAAAGCGCACGUAGGCGGCAUGGUAAGUUGGAUGUGAAAACCCUGGGCUCAACCCUGGAAGUGCAUCCAAGACUGUCACGCUAGAGUGUCGGAGGGGGUCGGAGAAUUCCCGGUGUAGAGGUGAAAUUCGUAGAUAUCGGGAGGAACAUCUGUGGCGAAGGCGCCGACCUGGACGACAACUGACGCUGAGGUGCGAAAGCAUGGGGAGCAAACAGG
rnacentral:rRNA from 1 species